GGUCUGUGAUGAACUGUAAAAGGUCUGAUUACCCACAAUCCUCCUGCCGCUGGCCAGCUCCCAGCAGUCCAUGCUUCUUGCCCCCAUUAUGCUCUAGUGAUGCAUUAUGGUCCCUGCAGCUGCUGACACAACAGGAUGUGACAUCACAGUGAGAGUCUGUGCUGAGAUCAUCCAGGCUUCUUGGUGUGAUAACAUCCCACAGAACCGAUCCAUAUGGAGCAUCCAGCUUAGGAGGAGGGGGGAGCUGAUCCAAAGUUUUCAAUCUGAGACC
ensembl:scaRNA